rnacentral:rRNA from 1 species
AGAGUUUGAUCAUGGCUCAGAUUGAACGCUGGCGGCAUGCCUUACACAUGCAAGUCGAACGGCAGCACGGGAGCAAUCCUGGUGGCGAGUGGCGAACGGGUGAGUAAUACAUCGGAACGUGCCCAGUAGUGGGGGAUAACCCGGCGAAAGCCGGACUAAUACCGCAUACGACCUACGGGUGAAAGCAGGGGAUCGCAAGACCUUGCGCUAUUGGAGCGGCCGAUGUCAGAUUAGCUUGUUGGCGGGGUAAAAGCCCACCAAGGCGACGAUCUGUAGCUGGUCUGAGAGGACGACCAGCCACACUGGGACUGAGACACGGCCCAGACUCCUACGGGAGGCAGCAGUGGGGAAUUUUGGACAAUGGGCGCAAGCCUGAUCCAGCCAUGCCGCGUGCGGGAAGAAGGCCUUCGGGUUGUAAACCGCUUUUGUCAGGGAAGAAACGCUCCGGGUUAAUACCCUGGAGUAAUGACGGUACCUGAAGAAUAAGCACCGGCUAACUACGUGCCAGCAGCCGCGGUAAUACGUAGGGUGCAAGCGUUAAUCGGAAUUACUGGGCGUAAAGCGUGCGCAGGCGGCUUUGCAAGACAGAUGUGAAAUCCCCGGGCUUAACCUGGGAACUGCAUUUGUGACUGCAUGGCUGGAGUGCGGCAGAGGGGGAUGGAAUUCCGCGUAGCAGUGAAAUGCGUAGAUAUGCGGAGGAACACCGAUGGCGAAGGCAAUCCCCUGGGCCUGCACUGACGCUCAUGCACGAAAGCGUGGGGAGCAAACAGGAUUAGAUACCCUAGUAGUCC